rfam:Hordeum vulgare subsp. vulgare, WGS project CAJW01000000 data, contig: morex_contig_50400
CUUGUACUCUCUCCAUCCCAAAAUUCUUGUCUCAGGUUUGUUUAAAAAUGAAUGUAUCUAAAUACUAUAAUAUGACUAGAUACAUUCAUAUUUAGACAAAUCUAAGACAAGAAUUUUGAGUGGGAGGAAGUAUAAA